UACGUAGGGUCCAAGCGUUAAUCGGAAUUACUGGGCGUAAAGCGUGCGUAGGCGGUCUCGCAAGUCCGAUGUGAAAUCCCCGAGCUUAACUUGGGAACUGCGUUGGAAACUAUGAGGCUAGAGUGCGGCAGAGGGGGGUGGAAUUCCUGGUGUAGCGGUGAAAUGCGCAGAUAUCAGGAAGAACACCCGUGGCUAAGGCGGCUCUCUAGUACGGUACUGACGCUGAGACGCGAAAGCGUGGGGAGCGAACAGG
rnacentral:rRNA from 1 species